CAAGAAAGUGACAGAAUGAAUGAUAGGAUCAUUUUAGUUUAACUAAAAUGAUGAAUCCAGCCAGUGUGUUUAAUAGGAGGAUCCCUCAGAUGCCACUGAUUUUCUACUGGUAAACCUUGACAGAAAUCUUAAAGUGAUAAUAUAGGAACAAGAACAACUUUAGCUUAAUGAAGUACUGCCAAGUUAUUUGCCACCUCCCCUGGUAUUGAAUCAUAUGCUCCACAAAAAAAAAAAAAAAAAAAAUUCCAAUUAGAUAACUUUUUAAAUUUGAUCUCAUACACUAAAUUGAACUUUAAAUCACACACUGGUGGCUCUGGAAUGCUAUUAACAGAGCAGGGGAUACA